rnacentral:rRNA from 1 species
AUUGAACGCUGGCGGCAUGCUUUACACAUGCAAGUCGAACGGUAACAGGCCGCAAGGUGCUGACGAGUGGCGAACGGGUGAGUAAUGCAUCGGAACGUGCCCAGUCGUGGGGGAUAACGCAGCGAAAGCUGCGCUAAUACCGCAUACGAUCUAUGGAGGAAAGCGGGGGACCGUAAGGCCUCGCGCGAUUGGGGCGGCCGAUGUCAGAUUAGGUAGUUGGUGGGGUAAAGGCUCACCAAGCCAACGAUCUGUAGCUGGUCUGAGCGGACGGCCAGCAACACUGGGACUGAGACACGGUCCAGACUCCGACGGGAGGCAGCAGUUGGGAAUUUUGGACAAUGGUCGCAAGCCUGAUCCAGCAAUGCCGCGUGCAGGAAGAAGGCCUUCGGGUUGUAAACUGCUUUUGUACGGAACGAAACGGUCCUGGUUAAUACCCGGGGCUAAUGACGGUACCGUAAGAAUAAGCACCGGCUAACUACGUGCCAGCCGCCGCAGUAAAAC